UAAGGUUUUAUUGGGGAGGGGGAAGGGGGAAUAUUAGUUGUUUCUUUUUCUUUUCCUGACUACAGAUGUUAAACUUUAUUCAUUGAAUAUCUUUAAGAAACUACUACCUGGAAAUCUGCAUUGAGAUUUUUCCCACUCACAUUUUCUCUCUUCAUUUGUCAGAUACAUACUGAACAACAAAAUGUUUAGUAUUUUUUUAGAAAUGUAAAACACUUCUACUUUGGCUGAUUAGUUGGUAAUUAAAAAAGACAGAAUGACACCUUAAGCUGUGCUGUGAAAAGGAAGUUUGUUCUGGUCAUAACAAAUUAAUUACUUCCUAGAACAGUUACUUGUGUCUCUCACAUCAAUAGAAUAGCCACAAAUUAAUGCUAGAGUCUUCAAGUGAUAUUAAGAAUAAAAUAUAAGGGUGUCAUCCACGCGUUAUUGUCUGGCUUUAGGAUCUAGGUUCAGCCUUCUUAUUUAAAUACAAAGUUAACUGCUUCCACCUCCUGAUGUAAUUGGGAGAACCUGUGUAAUUGAUAGCAAGAGGGAAGCUCCUCAUCUAGGUUUUUGGAAUUACCCCUGGAGAUAGAUAAGUCACACCAUUGGCUGUUCAGUUGAGUUUCUGGUGUGUCAUUGCUGAUCUGCCUGUAGUCUACCUGUGUGAAGUUUAACAGAACAUCUUCCUCACUCUAUUUCCUCCAGAAAUAUUCUUUAUUGAUCUGACAAAGUUUGCAAAGAUUCCUGGCUCUUUAGAGAUCCACUCACAUGGAAAGGUGAAGAGUGCCCAAUGUGAAACUGAGAACAUACCUUAAGUGACUUAGGUGACUGAUCCAAACCCAGGUAGUUCUUAAAAAGCA
rnacentral:lncRNA from 1 species